rnacentral:lncRNA from 1 species
ACAAACCUUCAAUGGCUAUAAUAAACCUCAACACUCGUCUUAAGCAAGCCCGGCGAACUCUAGGUUAGCUCAAGAACCAAUGCAAGCAAGCUCUCACGGCAAACCUUCCGUAGUACCGUUAGGAUAUGUCAAUGGCUAUAGGUCAUAGUUAUUCUGUAAUUCGUUCCGUGGUCCCCUUAGAUAUGCUGACGGGUAUGAUGUAUGGAAAGGAUAUGGCCGUUGACCUGAUUUCCCUAGUACGUGGGAUAUGAAUAGCCACGGGUGUAUCCUCCUAGUAAUUCAAUGGAAGUAUAGUAAUGACCUCUAUUGUAGAAAUUUCGAGUAGUUUGAUCAAAAUCGUAUGGGAUUUUUAUAGGUAGUCCACUCUGCAUGACCUUGAAUAAUUUACACAAUAUAUUGUUGACUUGUUUUUCAUCUGUUUUCGGCUUGGGUAUGGACGAGGAGACUGCGCGGGUAGGAGCAUUCCUUGCAUCGGAAUCAGUCCCAGUACUAGUAUCCAUCCCCCGACCCCGCACCAUCACUAUCACCAGCAAAAAGCAAAGUCAGAGCUCAUGAUCUUGUUUGACCCUCCAUUCCAUCGAGCCUAACCACGAAAGAUUUUCUAAAAGACAUGGUUUUCAGCUCGUAAAGCGCGAUUCUUAUCCGCGGAUGGGAUCACUAUUCUAAUCGAUUAAAGGGUUGUAACUUGCUUUCCCUUAUUCCCCUCGAAUAUGAAGACUCACUCCUACUAUCAUUCAUUCUAUUGAUAGCUUCUAGCUCCUAAUCGACAUCUUUCUCAUUAGCCUUUAAGCUUUCUUUCUGGUUCCUCCAUCCCCCCAUCUCAAUAAAGAUGACCAGGGAGUCUAUUACCAAUCCGGGUAGUUUGGAGCUGUUGUGUCUGCUCCGUCCCUCCAAUCUUUCCCCUAGCUACUAGUCUCAUCAGGCGCUCCGGGUGGUAGUUUAGUUAUUACUCCUUGUCGGCGCCCCUGCUUCUCCAUUUCCAAUGGCUAUUAGAUAAGAGAGAAACUAUUAGAUAGUGGCGCCCAUCCCCUUCCAUCUAGUAAACAAUUAUCCAGCUUACUCUACCCGUAUGGUCUACUCCCCGGGCCAGACAUAGGCGGUUUUGUUCCUGACACUCUCACUAGGGCCAGCUGGUAGAUGAAUCUAUCCGUCUAGAUAGUGCUAUCCAUAGAUUGGACAACUAUCUCUGCCUGCCAGAGAUUGGCAGUAUUCAACUUCUAUAGGCGGUUCCACUUCUAUAGCUCUCUUUCUAUUCCGGUUCAAACAAAGUCUCAGCCUUCCCCAACCCUAUCCCUGAAUUACCCACUUCAUCCCUUUACCCGGGGCGUAGGCACCCAGGCCUAACCCUAUCCAUGAACCCGCCCCUUUCUCUUCCGGGCAAUGAACCUUUGUUACUACAUAGAAAGAGAAGUCAUUGAGCAGUCUAAACCUCUAUUGGAGAGGAGGGGCAACUAUCCCAUCCCGUUGGUAUCUGUAUCUUCUCCAUCCACUAGGGGCAGUGAACAAUCUAUCGCUUUCUAUCGGCGAGUAGCUAGAUUUCUCUUUCUGUCUCUAUAGCGGUAUCUCUCUCUCGACUGAGGUAGGUCACUCACAUCUGGGCAGACACGCACUACGGGAAUUCACUAGAGACAGAGCCUUCUCCUAGCCAUCUCCUUCACUUUGGGCUACUACUUGAAGGGGGAGGCUCGCUUCACUCUAGAAUACGAGCUACUAUCCCUUCGAGAACUAGGGAUCCUCAACUGAAACUGAGGAAAACAAGUCAGAUACUCUCUCUCGGGCGAGAACUAGGGUAUUGAGUACCAAAAGUACCGAGAUAAAGAGAAAGAAUACUUUUAGCACCCUACUUUGAGGAAAAGAACUAAGAUCAAGUAGAACCGAACUAGCAACAAGAAUGGCCAAUGGGAGUUUUUGAAGAGAACCCCUGAUUCCGAAGAUGACAAAGAAAGCGUUGAUUUGGGAUCUUAUUUCAAUUGUAUCAGUCAUUACAUGCAAACGGUAUAUGUGACAUGAGAAAGUAUCCUCAAUCAAUCUAAUCUACGAGGUAAUGUGUUACGGUGUCACUACUUCUAGAAUCUAGAGGUAGGCAAGAUGGUACUGAGUAGAAAGAAACAACUUCAUGGUUCAUCAAAUAUGAUUCAUAUUUGGUAUUGGGCUUGGAGUAGCUCUGUCUAUGAAAACCAGUAUCUAGUGUGGCCGUUGGAGAUUUUGUAAGUCUUUCCUUUUAUCAAAUAGGGCUGACUCGCAGCAAGUGCAAUUGAUGGUUCUUAACCCAGCCCUACUUUUAAAAUGUUUCAAUCUAUCUCCUCCUCGCUAUGCUCGGCUCACUCAAUUCCUUACAGUCGACUAGCUGUGUGCUCUUCAAUCCAGCCAUUCCUGCCAUUGAAGAAGACUGAGACUUGAGGCAAAAAACCCCCGUUUAUGACCCGCUUUUGGAAGUAUAGCAAGUGUGCCGGAAGUGAGAAAGGCUGCUCGAUUGCAAGAAAGAAAGCUGCUAAAGCAGUAAGAUCUAUUGUAUAUGAUGUAAUGGAUGGUCGGGCUCAACAGCACCUCUUCACCCCUCUAGGUCGUGGCCGAAAGGUCAUACAGUCGAGUUACUUCGAAACCUCUCGUUGGCUGAAUGAAGCCCUUUUUACCAUGUUCAGCAGAGCAGAGUACCGUGGAGGGAUUAGCCGCAUUCCUCUUCAUCACGCUAACAGCCUAAACUCUUCCUACCUUUGAAUCAUUCCUAUGGUGUAGCUACCCCUCUUUGAUCCAAUCAAAAAUUCAAAAAAGAAGAGAGUCAAAGAACCUACUUCUCUUAACCAGAAAUGCGAUUGGGAAUGAGUGACUUCAGGUGCAGCCAAUCAAAGGAAGAAAGAGCAAUGUGGCAAAACAAGUAAUGCCAUCUAACUCGACUGUAUAGAAGAGCAACUGACAGCCUAGUUCUAUUUCUGAGAGAUAGCUGGUAUCGAAGGUAAAGUUUUCCCACAAGAGAGCACCAGAUUAACCCCUUUGAAUUAGCCGAUCUUACAAGAUCGAUCGGGCGGACUGGUUGGGCAAGGGGAAGUGGAGUGACGAGAGAUGGCCCAUAUGAUGUUUCCAAACACCUGCACUUAAGUCCUCGGCUUCCAUUCCAUUAGUCGAUUAAGCCAGCUCGUUUGGCAGUUAGGCGGGCAGUGUAUUAGUAGUUGUAGUGGCCAAGAGAGAGCGAUUCUCGGUAGUAGUG